ACAGAUCGAGGUCAUCAAACUCCCGGCCGGUGAAGGCCUUGCCAGUGACAUCCUCAUCCUCAGUGAAGAUGCCGAUACGACGGCAGAUGGCCACAGCUGUGCCUUUGUUGUCACCUGGGAGGACAGAAAUGACGAUUUUGACAUUAUGUCUGUGACAAAAUUGUUUGUUUGAGAUUCAAAUAAUUUGUGUGUUGCGCCUACUGACCAGUGAUCAUGAUGACUCGGAUGCCAGCGGCCCUGCACAGCUCAAUGGAGCCCAUGACUUCCUUACGCGGAGGGUCGAGCAUGCCGACACAGCCGACAAAGGUCAAGUCAGUCUGGAUAAAAAAGGACAACAACAUAUUUAGUGUCCUUUGGAGAUACUUGCAAGCAGGAGUAUAAACUACAGUUGACGAACUUGGUGGAGUCCACCAGGUUCAUGUCCUCCUUCCUCAUCGGUGUGUCGGAGGUGGCCAGUGCCAGACAGCGGAGGGUGUCGCGCCCGGUGCCCCACUCCUUGAUGACUGACAGGAUGUUUUCUUUGACCGGGCCGGUCAGAGGAAUGCGGCUGGUGCCCACACGAAUGAGUUUUGCCCGACUUGGCAGGGGAGCAGAACACCGACAUGGACUUUCUGUCUCUGGAGAACUCCAGGGUGAACUCCUUCUUCAUCAGCUGCUUGAUCACCUGUGAGAAAAUGAGGAAGAAGAAGGUCAACUGGAGGAAAAUGAUCUAAGAUCAAGGUUGAGUCUAGCCCAUCGAUUACUUCACUGUUUAUUUGUAUUUGUUUCCACUAAUUAAACCUGAAAUACAUUUUUUUUUACCACUUCAGGGCUGUGGACAUUGACAUAUUUACAUAUAUAUUGAACCCUUUAAGUUAAUGUCGCAAACUUGUGAUAAUCCUCCACUGUGUUACACUAAAAUGUCUUUGUAUACAGGAUAACAUGCUACGUGCUUUAUGGAAUAUUUACAUAUACUUACAGAACAGCAUGCGUUUGCCCGCUCCACCUUGGACAGGCCGCGCACUUCAGUGUUGAACACGUUCAUCUUCUCCACCAAACAGGACAGCGCUGUUUCUGUGGCCUCGCCCACUUUCUCAUAAAUGCCCUUGGACUGCAUCGUGGAGCAAUAAGACAGAACAAACGUACAUUUGAAGUUGGCCGCGUGUCACAAUUAACCACGAAUGUCAUGAGCACACAUUCUCCUGAAUGCUCUGCAGACCUCAUUGUAGUCCAGAGAAGAGUCGUUGCACAGAGCGCAGAUGGUAGCCAGCUCAACCAGUCCGUCAUACUGGCCGCACUUCACCAACAUGCCAUUCCUUGUGCUGGCAAAAAAAGAUUGUCAAAGAUAUUUUGAAUUAAAUUAAAUAUUUUGUUAUAAAAAAAAGGUUUAACAAUGGGUUAUAGUGUUUGUGUGUGCAGGGUCCUAUAAGAUGAACUUACACUUCUCCCUCGGGGGUGUACUUUGAGCCUGAGAUGUCAAACUGACCGAGGGAAACAUUGUCAACCUCGACUUUGUCAAUGACGAACAUCUGCAUGGAAACAAAAGACCACACGCAUGUUAGAUCUGCUCUUAUUUACCGUCACCUAUCUGGAUUGAACACGAUAUUGGUUUGGUGAGCAUGAACCUACCUUUGUGACACACAUCUGGUUGGUGGUGAGGGUACCGGUCUUGUCGGAGCAGAUGACUGAGGUGCAGCCCAGGGUCUCCACAGAGGGCAGGCUCCUGACGAUGGCGUUCUUCUUGGCCAUACGGCGUGUUCCCAGAGCCAGGCAGGUGGUGAUGACAGCGGGCAGACCUGCGGAGGACGGAGCGAGAGAUCAGGCAUGGAGGUACUCAA